AACGAACGCUGGCGGCAUGCCUAACACAUGCAAGUCGAACGAGACCUUCGGGACCAUUGGUGUACGGGUGCGUAAACCGUGGGAACCGGCACCUAUGGUCGGAAUAACUCUCCGAAAGGGGUACUAAUACUGGAUAAUGACUUCGAACCAAAGAUUUAUUGCAUUUGGAUGGGCCCGAGUGGUAUUAGGUAGUUGGGAGGGUAAAAGCCGACUAAGGCGACGAUCCACACCUGGUCUGAGAGAAUGAUCAGACACACUGGGGCAGAGAGACAGCAUGAACUCCUACGGAAGGCGGCAGUGGAGAAUAUUGGACCAUAGGCGAAAGAAUGAUCCAGCAAUGCCGCGUAAGUGGUGAAAGACUUAGGGUAGUAAAGCUCUUUUAACCGGGAUGAUAAUGACAGUACCGGGAGAAUAAGCGCCGGCUAACUCCGUG
rnacentral:rRNA from 1 species